GAUGAACGCUGGCGGCGUGCCUAAUACAUGCAAGUCGAGCGAACAGAUGAGGAGCUUGCUCCUCUGACGUUAGCGGCGGACGGGUGAGUAACACGUGGAUAACCUACCUAUAAGACUGGGAUAACUUCGGGAAACCGGAGCUAAUACCGGAUAAUAUAUUGAACCGCAUGGUUCAAUAGUGAAAGACGGUUUUGCUGUCACUUAUAGAUGGAUCCGCGCCGCAUUAGCUAGUUGGUAAGGUAACGGCUUACCAAGGCAACGAUGCGUAGCCGACCUGAGAGGGUGAUCGGCCACACUGGAACUGAGACACGGUCCAGACUACUACGGGAGGCAGCAGUAGGGAAUCUUCAGCAAUGGGCGCAAGCCUGACGGAGCAACGCCGCGUGAGUGAGGAAGGUCUUCGGAUCGUAAAACUCUGUUAUUAGGGAAGAACAAAUGUGUAAGUAACUAUGCACGUCUUGACGGUACCUAAUCAGAAAGCCACGGCUAACUACGUG
rnacentral:rRNA from 1 species